rnacentral:rRNA from 1 species
AUUGAACGCUGGCGGCAGGCCUAACACAUGCAAGUCGAACGAGUGGCGGACGGGUGAGUAAUGUCUGGGAAACUGCCUGACGGAGGGGGAUAACUACGGGAAACGGUAGCUAAUACCGCAUACCAUCGGAUGUGCCCAGAUGGGAUGAGCUAGUAGGUGGGGUAAAGGCUCACCUAGGCGACGAGCCCUAGCUGGUCUGAGAGGAUGACCGGCCACACGGGAACUGAGACACGGUCCAGACUCCGACGGGAGGCAGCAGUGGGGAAUAUUGCACAAUGGACGCAAGCCUGAUGCAGCCAUGCCGCGUGUGUGAAGAAGGCCUUCGGGUUGUAAAGCACUUUCGGCGGGGAGGCGUUACUCGAAGAAGAAGCACCGGCUAACUCCGUGCCAGCAGCCGCGGUAAUAC